UACGGGGGGGGCAAGCGUUGUUCGGAAUUACUGGGCGUAAAGGGCUCGUAGGCGGCUAACUAAGUCCGACGUGAAAUCCCCAGGCUUAACCUGGGAACUGCGUCGGAUACUGGAUGGCUUGAAUCCGGGAGAGGGAUGCGGAAUUCCAGGUGUAGCGGUGAAAUGCGUAGAUAUCUGGAGGAACACCGGUGGCGAAGGCGGCAUCCUGGACCGGCAUUGACGCUGAGGCACGAAAGCUGGGGGAGCGAACAGG
rnacentral:rRNA from 1 species